UUUAGUUCAAAACCCCGAAACUAAGUGAGCUACCCCGAGACAGCCUAUCAAUUAGGGCCAACCCAUCUCUGUGGCAAAAGAGUGGGAAGAGCUCCGGGUAGAGGUGACAAACCUACCGAACUUAGUUAUAGCUGGUUACCUAAGAAAUGAAUAAAAGUUCAGCCUCGCACUCCUUGCCUCACAAACAUCUAAAACCACACGAGCCAAAGAAAUAUGCGAGAGUUAGUCAAAGGGGGUACAGCCCCUUUGAAACAGGACACAACCUCAUGCAGGAGGUUAAAGAUUACACUAAACAAGAUACACCGCUUUAGUGGGCCUAAAAGCAGCCACCUAGACAGAUAGCGUUAAAGCUCCAGCGGACUAAAAAUCUAUUAUCCAAAUAAUUUAUCUAAAACCCCUAACAAUAUUAGGUCGCCCCAUGCCUACAUGGAAGAGAUACUGCUAAAAUGAGUAAUAAGAAGGAACCCCCUUCUCCUAGCCUACGUGUAUAUUAGAUCGGACCCCCCACUAAUAAUUAUCGAGCCCAACCAAAGAGGGUAAUGUGAUCGCACUAGAAAACAAGAAAACAUCACACCACCAAAUCGUUAAUCCCACACCGGAAGGCCCACAAGGAAAGACUAAAAGAAAAGGAAGGAACUCGGCAAACCCAAGCCUCGCCUGUUUACCAAAAACAUCGCCUCCUGCAAAAAUCAAUGUAUAGGAGGUCCUACCUGCCCAGUGACAAGUUAAACGGCCGCGGUAUUUUGACCGUGCGAAGGUAGCGCAAUCACUUGUCUUUUAAAUGAAGACCUGUAUGAAUGGUGGAACGAGGGCUUAACUGUCUCCCCUUUCCAGUCAAUGAAAUUGAUCUGCCCGUGCAGAAGCGGACAUAUUAGUACAAGACGAGAAGACCCUUUGGAGCUUAAGAUAAAAGAUCAACUAUGUCAAGAAACUAAAAACAUAGCUUAAACUAAAUAGCAACUGAUCCUUAUCUUCAGUUGGGGCGACUGCGGAAGAAAACAAAGCUUCCACGAGGAUUGGGAUAAAUAACCUAAAGCCGAGAAAGACACUUCUAAGCCACAGAACAUCUGACCAUAUAAGAUCCGGCCACCCGCCGAUCAACGGACCAAGUUACCCUAGGGAUAACAGCGCAAUCCCCUUUCAGAGUUCAUAUCGACAAGGGGGUUUACGACCUCGAUGUUGGAUCAGGACAUCCUAAUGGUGCAGCCGCU
rnacentral:rRNA from 1 species